rnacentral:rRNA from 1 species
UCCUACGGGAGGCAGCAGUGGGGAAUUUUGGACAAUGGGCGAAAGCCUGAUCCAGCAAUGCCGCGUGUGCGAAGAAGGCCUUCGGGUUGUAAAGCACUUUUGUCAGGAAAGAAAUUGUCCGGGUUAAUACCCCGGGCCGUUGACGGUACCUGAAGAAUAAGCACCGGCUAACUACGUGCCAGCAGCCGCGGUAAU